UUUUGGACAAUGGGCGCAAGCCUGAUCCAGCCAUGCCGCGUGAGUGAAGAAGGCCUUCGGGUUGUAAAGCUCUUUCGGCCGGGAAGAAAUCGUGUUCUCUAACAUAGGACAUGGAUGACGGUACCGGACUAAGAAGCACCGGCUAACUACGUGCC
rnacentral:rRNA from 1 species